rnacentral:rRNA from 1 species
AUUGAACGCUGGCGGCAGGCUUAACACAUGCAAGUCGAGCGAGCGGCGGACGGGGGAGUAAUGUAUGGGAAACUGCCUGAUGGAGGGGGAAAACUACUGGACACGGUAGCUAAUACCGCAUACCAUCGGGUGCGCCGAGAUGGGAAGAGAUAGUAGGUGGGGAAAAGGCUCACCUAGGCGACGAUCCCUAGCUGGUGUGAGAGGAUGACCAGCCACACUGGAACUGAGACACGGUCCAGACUCCUACGGGAGGCAGCAGUGGGGAAUAUUGCACAAUGGGCGCAAGCCUGAUGCAGCCAUGCCGCGUGUAUGAAGAAGGCCUUCGGGUUGUAAAGUACUUUCAGCGGGGAGGCGUUACCCGCAGAAGAAGCACCGGCUAACUCCGUGCCAGCCGCCGCGGUAAUUC